AAAAUAAACUAUUUUUAUAAAGAAAAAUAUUAUCAUACAUUUCAUAGGGUAUACCAUUUUUUACAUAUGUUGACGGCUCAAAUUAAUUUUGUUUCAGUUGGGUGUGUCAUAAUUGCAUGUAAAUUAUAUUACCCUAUGUUUGUUACAGAUUUUUUAUAUUAUCAAAAUAUGUUUGUAAAUGAUAAAUUUGAAUCUUUUCACAUGAACAACCAUUACAAAUGUCAUAUACAAAAUAAUUUUAUUUUUCACAACAAGGAAGAGUUUGAUUAUGCGAUGCAAAACAAAAAGGAAAGUAACAUAACAAAAAAAAAAGAAAGCAUGAAAAGGAAAAAAAAAAAAAAAAAAAUAAUAAUAGUAGUAGUAGUAGUAAUAAUAAUAAUAAUCAUAAUAAUAAUCAUAAUAAUAAUCAUAAUAAUAAUAAUAUUAAUCAUAAUAAUAAAAUAUAUUUUUCACGGCAGGAACAAUCAAACAUGGAUGAAAAACAGCGACAUGACGACGAUUUAGCCACUAAUAUGAAAAAAAAUGAUCUAUCAUGUUAUAAAAGCAGAACUAGUGAAAAGGUAUCACCACAUGCAUUUGAGAAAACACAUGACAGUGACACAACAAGUGCUGAUGAAAAAAACUAUUGGGAAAAACAAAUAGAACAUAUAAUAAAAAAAAAAAAAAAAUUGAGUCCUAAUGGUUGGUCUAGCAAUGAAAAAAAAUGUGAUCGAACUGUUACAAGUUGCAAAGGUAAUAACAUAAAUGAAAACGACAUUGAUGAUAAAAAUUGUUCAAAAAGUUAUAAAUCCAACAGUAUUGGGAACAAAAGGAAGAAUAAUGUUUUUUAUUCAACUUAUUAUAGUAAUUUUAGGAAUGAUCACUUAAAAAUUAGAAAGUUAAACCCUGAUAGUAUUACUGAGAACAAAAAAAAGACAUUAAAAAGUUUUGAUAAUAAUAUUGCUUUUACGAUUGAUAUGUGUAGUGAUGGCGAAAGUGGAAGUAACAGUUACAACAGCGGCUGUGGUGAUAAUAAUAACGUAUCUAUGCAAUACAAAGAAAUUUACUUAAAUGUAGACCCUCAUGAAAAAAACGAACAGGAACAUACACAAACAGAUACCUUAGUAAAAAGAACUAAUACGUUUUAUGAUUAUUAUGUAGAACAUUUGCAGAAUGAUAAAAAAGAUGAUUUUUUUUUUAAACAUUUAAAAAAAAAAAAAAAAAAUCUGUAUGCUAACAAAACGAAUGUACUUGAUGAUUUUUUCAAUGACUAUAAAGAAACAGAUACUAUCUUGUUUAAGUGUAUAAUAAUAAAAGAAAAUUCACAUAUUCAUUCUAUUCUAAACACCAAAUGUGAUAGUUGUAAAAGAAGAAACAAGACAUAUACAAGAAGAAAAAUAAAAAAAAUAUAUUUUAAGUCGUCUGACCAAAGCGUUAAUAUGUAUUUUAUUCCUGUUCCUAAAACCAUACAAUUAUUUUGUAAUUACAAAGAAUGUAUGUAUAAUGAUGUUUUUAAAAGUUCAGUAUAUAAUAAUAGGUUUAUGCAAGUAAGAGAACAGGACGAAGAGAGAAAGGACAUAACCAGUUUGAUGGGUUUGAAAAGUACGAUUAGUUUGGAAGAUUCAUCUAGUUUGACUAAAAAUUCGAGAGGUAAGAAAAGAUUAUGGAAAGAGAACUCGGUACAAUUAUGUAAUAAAUUAAUUAAAUUUACUAAAACAAAAAAACGAAAGGGUAAAAAAAAAGUAUAUAACACGCAAAGUAAGGAUAAGUUUUAUGAAGCAAGUAACUCUAUUAAUGGUAAUGGCGAGAAUAGAUACAUACAAAGUAGUUUAAAUUGUGAUAAUAGUAGUAGUGGUAGUGGUGGUGAUAGUGGUGGUGAUAGUGGUGGUGAUAGUGGUGGUGAUAGUGGUGGUGAUAGUGGUGGUGAUAGUGGUGGUGAUAGUGGUGGUGAUAGUGGUAGUGGUAGCAGUAUUAUUAGUAAUAGUAGUAAUAAUAAUAAUAAUAAUAGUAAUAGUAAUAGUAAUAUUGAUGAUACUAUUAGUUUCGAAAAUAAUAUGAAGUCCAAAGAUGCAUUUUUAAAUGGUGGUAACAUUCCUUCUUGUAAAGGUUUGGACACACCGUAUAUAGAAAAGAAACUUGAGCUAAAGGUACAUUUUAUAACAGAUAAGCAUUUAAAUUUCUUACUAAAUAAAGAAAAUCUGAAUAAAAAUAAAAAUAGAAACAAUAUUAACAAAGUUUAUCAUGAAAAAGAUGUAAACUUUUAUUACAAUUUAUUAUAUACAACAAAGAAGAAGUAUCCAUUUAAUAAUGAAUAUAGAAGUAUACUAGUGUUAUGGUAUUUUCUUUAUAAUUUUGUUUUAAUUAAUAAUUAUGCA
ensembl:lncRNA